rnacentral:rRNA from 1 species
GACGAACGCUGGCGGCGUGCUUAACACAUGCAAGUCGAACGGAAAGGCCCUGCUUUUGUGGGGUGCUCGAGUGGCGAACGGGUGAGUAACACGUGAGUAACCUGCCCUUGACUUUGGGAUAACUUCAGGAAACUGGGGCUAAUACCGGAUAGGAGCUCUUGCUGCAUGGUGGGGGUUGGAAAGUUUCGGCGGUUGGGGAUGGACUCGCGGCUUAUCAGCUUGUUGGUGGGGUAGUGGCUUACCAAGGCUUUGACGGGUAGCCGGCCUGAGAGGGUGACCGGCCACAUUGGGACUGAGAUACGGCCCAGACUCCUACGGGAGGCAGCAGUGGGGAAUAUUGCACAAUGGGCGGAAGCCUGAUGCAGCAACGCCGCGUGCGGGAUGACGGCCUUCGGGUUGUAAACCGCUUUCGCCUGUGACGAAGCGUGAGUGACGGUAAUGGGUAAAGAAGCACCGGCUAACUACGUGCCAGCAGCCGCGGUGAUACGUAGGGUGCGAGCGUUGUCCGGAUUUAUUGGGCGUAAAGGGCUCGUAGGUGGUUGAUCGCGUCGGAAGUGUAAUCUUGGGGCUUAACCCUGAGCGUGCUUUCGAUACGGGUUGACUUGAGGAAGGUAGGGGAGAAUGGAAUUCCUGGUGGAGCGGUGGAAUGCGCAGAUAUCAGGAGGAACACCAGUGGCGAAGGCGGUUCUCUGGGCCUUUCCUGACGCUGAGGAGCGAAAGCGUGGGGAGCGAACAGGCUUAGAUACCCUGGUAGUCCACGCUGUAAACGGUGGGUACUAGGUGUGGGGUCCAUUCCACGGGUUCCGUGCCGUAGCUAACGCUUUAAGUACCCCGCCUGGGGAGUACGGCCGCAAGGCUAAAACUCAAAGGAAUUGACGGGGCCCCGCACAAGCGGCGGAGCAUGCGGAUUAAUUCGAUGCAACGCGUAGAACCUUACCUGGGUUUGACAUGGAUCGGGAGUGCUCAGAGAUGGGUGUGCCUCUUUUGGGGUCGGUUCACAGGUGGUGCAUGCCUGUCGUCAGCUCGUGUCGUGAGAUGUUGGGUUAAGUCCCGCAACGAGCGCAACCCUUGUUCACUGUUGCCAGCACGUUAUGGUGGGGACUCAGUGGAGGCCGCCGGGGUCAACUCGGAGGAAGGUGGGGAUGACGUCAAGUCAUCAUGCCCCUUAUGUCCAGGGCUUCACGCAUGCUACAAUGGCUGGUACAGAGAGUGGCGAGCCUGUGAGGGUGAGCGAAUCUCGGAAAGCCGGUCUCAGUUCGGAUUGGGGUCUGCAACUCGACCUCAUGAAGUCGGAGUCGCUAGUAAUCGCAGAUCAGCAACGCUGCGGUGAAUAAGUUCCCGGG